CAGUAACGGCGAGUGAAGCGGCAAAAGCUCAAAUUUGAAAUCUGGCUCUUUUAGGGUCCGAGUUGUAAUUUGUAGAAGAUGUUUCGGGUGUGGCUCCGGUUUAAGUUCUUUGGAAUAUUACAUCAUAGAGGGUGAGAAUCCCGUAUGUGACCGGCAGCCUUCGCCUAUGUGAAACUCUUUCGACGAGUCGAGUUGUUUGGGAAUGCAGCUCAAAAUGGGAGGUAUAUUUCUUCUAAAGCUAAAUAUUGGCCAGAGACCGAUAGCGCACAAGUAGAGUGAUCGAAAGAUGAAAAGCACUUUGGAAAGAGAGUUAAACAGUACGUGAAAUUGUUGAAAGGGAAGCGCUUGCAACCAGACUUGCACGCAGUUGAUCAUCCGGUGUUCUCACCGGGGCACUCUGCUGCGUUCAGGCCAGCAUCGGUUUUGGUGGUUGGAUAAAGGCCUUGGGAAUGUGGCUUCCUUCGGGGAGUGUUAUAGCCCUCGGUGCAAUGCAGCCUACCGGGACCGAGGACCGCGCUUCGGCUAGGAUGCUGGCGUAAUGGUUGUAAGCGACCCGUCUUGAAACACGGACCAAGGAGUCUAACAUCUAUGCGAGUGUUUGGGUGUUAAACCCAUACGCGUAAUGAAAGUGAACGGAGGUGAGAACCCUUAAGGGUGCAUCAUCGACCGGUCCUGAUGUCUUCGGAUGGAUCUGAGUAAGAGCAUAGCUGUUGGGACCCGAAAGAUGGUGAACUAUGCGUGAAUAGGGUGAAGCCAGAGGAAACUCUGGUGGAGGCUCGCAGCGGUUCUGACGUGCAAAUCGAUCGUCAAAUUUGCGCAUAGGGGCGAAAGACUUAUCGAACCAUUGAACACCUACUAGGUGGUUAAGAGGCCUUAGUACGGCCUAGUCCUCACCGAGGGCGACAUUGUCAAAUUGUUCGGGGACCUCCUGAUAACUCUCAGACUACCGCAGCCCGCCCGAAAGGGGGGUGCGCACCGGGCUAACGACCCUGGGGAUGGUAACAACGUCUGGGUAGGGAAGAUCCGCAGCCAAGUCCUACCGCCCUCCGGGGCCACGGAUGCAGUUCACAGACUUGAAGGCAGUGGGCUCCCCCGGGAGCUUAAGAUAAAGUCGAACCCCCCGGAGACGGGGUGGAGGGAGGAGAGUGCGUCGCACUCAGAGUCCU
rnacentral:rRNA from 1 species